CAGUAACAGGCCUCACCCUGCUCCCACGCAGCCUGCAGUCUUAAAGGCCAGUGUCACUCUCACUGUGCUCCCCCAACAGCACUGAGUGUAUUUCCAGGCAGCCAGUGACUAAAUGACUAGGGCUGAGAACUUGCCCUAUACCACAAGCCUCCUCGCUGAGAAAGCAAGCGGACUCACAGUUUUUCAGGGAGCCUGCAGCCGUGAUCCAGUUCUUUCAAAGGGUCUGUGAGUCUUUCAGCUUUCCUGCCUACUCAACAUGAAGAUGACAAGAAGGAAGACCUUUAUGAUGAUCCACUUUUGCUUAGUUUUUAGAUCAAAAAGAAUUGUACUCAAGGAAUUGAAGCUAUGGAGCCUCUGCCACAUCUGGACCUGAUUUUGAUGACAAGAUCCUGUACCUCAAGCCCGAGACUAAUUUCAUAAUUUGAUGAAUCUUUUUGGAGAGUCAUGGGAGGAAUGUAAACAAUUUGUGGCCAAAGGAGAAUUAUGGUAGUUUGAAGAUGUGGAUACAAAUUAUUUGACAUUCUUCUCAUAGAAAGGUAACUCCAUAGCUGGGAGCCAAGUCUCGAAGCCCCAUGAGGGGAAGUGGAUACAUCUCAGAAUUGGGUUUCCUGAUACACACGACUGCAUCCUUCAUCUGCCAGGCCCUGGCAUUGUUUACUGGAGAAGAUGUCAUAGGAAAUUGGGCUAUGUCAUUGAGCCACUGGAGUCACACAUGAACAGCCAUUUGGAGAUUCUGGAAUUGAUGGUUCAGUUUAGGUAAACUGUAUGAUGUAGUGAAACAAUGUUGCCUGGAAUUCCUGAAGAGAAGACCAAUCACUAAAAUUUGAGACUACUGCACAAUUCUGAUAUCUGAAUCAUUUCCAUAGAUAGAUUUUGGUUAAAGCACCUGUGUAUAUUCUGUCAUUAUUAAUUUGUGUCUGCUUUUUUACGGUUUCUAAAAUCAUGUUUUUAAAUUUUACAAACUCAGGUAAAUAAAAUAAAACCACCCAUAAUCCUAUCACCUUAACACAGCCUUGGCCAAUAGUUUUUUUGUUAUAUAUAUUUUUAAGUCUUUUUUUCUAUUCACUCUUUUAAUUUACCUGUAGCCAUUGUG
rnacentral:lncRNA from 10 species